AUUGAACGCUGGCGGCAGGCCUAACACAUGCAAGUCGAGCGAGCGGCGGACGGGUGAGUAAUGUAUGGGGACUGCCCGCUAGAGGGGGAUAACUACUGGAAACGGUGGCUAAUACCGCAUACUAUCGGAUAACCCAUAUGGGAUGAGCUAGUGGGUGGGGUAAAGGCUCACCUAGGCGACGAUCUCUAGCUGGUCUGAGAGGAUGAUGAGGCAAACUGUGACUGAAACACGGCCCAGACUCCUACGGAGGCAGCAGUAGGGAAUAUCGCACAAUGGGCGCAAGCCUGAUGCAGCGAUGCCGCUUGUAUGAAGAAGGCCUUAGGGUUGUAAAGUACGUUGAGCGGGGAAGCGUUACCCGCAGAAGAAGCACCGGCUAACUCCGUGCCAGCAGCCGCGGUAAUUC
rnacentral:rRNA from 1 species